rnacentral:misc_RNA from 1 species
AAGUCGUAACAAGGUUUCCGUAGGUGAACCUGCGGAAGGAUCAUUACAAAUCCAAACAACAAUUACCCGUUGAAAUGUUCUCGGCCUUGGUUGCUGCAUCGCGCAUUGUGCAUAUUGUUAUAUAUACAUACGCAUACAGUGUAAAAAUGGGAAUGACAUCAUUUUCAUCCAAGGUCCGGUUUUUAAAACAACAACGUUAUUUAUUAUGGCCAUACUUAACAGUGUGACAAUUAAAACAACUUUUAACAAUGGAUCUCUAGGCUCUU